CCCUUAGAUGUCCUGGGCCACACGCGUGCUACACUGACGCCUACAGCGAGUACUUCCCAGCCCCGAGAGGUGGCUGGUAAUCAGCAAUAGGCGUCGUGAUGGGGAUAGAUCUUUGGAAUUAUGGAUCUUGAACGAGGAAUGCCUAGUAAGCGCAGGUCAUUAGCCUGCGCUGAUUAAGUCCCUGCCCUUUGUACACACCGCCCGUCGCUCCUACCGAUUUCGAGUGGUCCGGUGAAUCUUUCGGACUGCGCGCGGCCUCGUGCCGUGUCGCGGAAAGUCAGGUAAACCUUAUCACUUAGAGGAAGGAGAAGUCGUANCA
rnacentral:rRNA from 1 species